UUCAAUUAAGAUUAGCAGAGUCGGAAAAAUGGCAUGGGCCACCAUUUAGUGCCAAUAAACAGAAGGCCUGGUUUCUUCAAAAGAAACACAAGAAAUUGUUUCCUGGUUUUGCCACAGAGAUUGGGUCACAGAGUGCCACCUAAAUGGUAUUACCAUAUUUGUGUUGUCGCCUCUUGGUUUGAAAUUUAUUCCUGGUAUGACUUGUGUCUCCCCUUGUUCCAUCUCUGACACCCAAGCCCAUGGGAUGACAACCCAGGCUGAGAUGUCCCAUGUGUCACAAAGGAGUCCUUCAGUAUUUCCAGGAAUAGUUGGAACCAGCACUCCAUCCCCUACCUGGACCUGGCACCCUCUCUACUCUUGUCAAUUCUACACUAAUCACAGGAAGAAGGUGGAAUUAGUCCAAGCUGGGUUUUCAGAAAUAACUUGUAGACAUGCAACAGAUGUUUAUAACCCUCAGAAGCGGAAGGAAACUUGGAAACCCUCUCUUUCGGUGACUUUUUUUCUAAUGAUUGUCUCUGCCAUGAAAUUCUAACUUCAAAUGAAAUCUUUGGCAGGAACCCAGGGCUGUUCUGUCAAGGUUCAGCUGCAGGACCAGAGCCCCUUCCACCUAACCCCCACUCCUAUCCUGAUGCUUCCUGAGGCACAUCUGCUGUGGUUUCUCACCAGAGAACAGUCUGCAAAAUCACUGCACCUUGUCCAACUCCAUUUUCCAACUGAGAAGACUUGGCCCAGAGAAGUGCACAGACUUGAGGGAAGUAACACAGCAAUCGGACAGACAGACAUCCCCAGAUAUACCUGCUACGGUCCUGGGAGAAAAUAGAGACCCAUCCCCAAAUACCAUCAUCCUCAUCAUUCUCUGUAGCCCAAUCAAAUGAUGCUCCAGGCCUGAGAUUUUAUCCAAUGAACACUCUGUACAUCUUUAAAAGAGAUAUGUACUUGUCUUAUUCCUCCUUUCCUUUCUUUAAAAAAAAACACAGGCCCCAGAUCCAGUCAUUCUAAAUAGGAAGGAAAAACAUAACCCACUGAGGCAAUGGAUGCUGUUUCUCUCCCUGCUCUGUGACUUUAGUUUGCCUUUAAAGCCCAUUUUCACCAUUUAUUGAUUUUAGUUUUCUACUUGUCUAUGAAUGACAACUUGAAUUAAGACAACGCAGGCUGAAAAGCCGCUAGGCAGUGCUAAAUGGACAAGCUACACUUCGUGGCAGGAUGUCUCAUGACCGUGCCACCUUCUGCCUAGCCCCAUUCUCUGGAGGAGCUGUGGGCAGACCGACCCCAGCCUGGCCGCCUGGCAUGGGGACUGGUUGCGUCAGAUCGGAGCUCUGAGAUAAGGGUGGGCCAGGGCAUGAUCAUCACCACUGCCAGCCUCGAAGCCUCUUUGCUGACCUGGAGGUGAUCUGUGUAUCAAAGGGGGCUGUGUAUUCAACAGCACUUCCAGAAGAGGCCAAAGAUCUGUCUCUACUUCAGCCUCCACUGGGCAGAAAACUAAGCCUAUUUGCUCUAGGCCCUUCAGACUUGCACUUGGAGAAAGAAAACUCACUAAGUCAGCCCUUAUGUAACUCCACUCUCCUCUCUUCCAAACCUCCUUGCUUUGGACAAAUAUUUGACAGAAAAUGCCCUUUUGCAACGCCUUAAAAGUUACAAAAAUGGUGCACCCUAUCCUUUAAUCU
rnacentral:lncRNA from 1 species